GGUUAAAUUUUCUUAACCAUUACGUAUAGUCACAAAGUGGUCAGAAAGUUUUGACCACAUCCUUACAAUUUUUUGACGAUGUUUCAAAGUUAACCUAAAUAUCGAAUCUUAUUUCUUCAUUUCUAAGUUCAGUUUUCUUUCCAAGCGGCGCCAUCAAACCUCUUCUCAUUCUCUUCUCAUCUUUUUUUUUAUUUCUCUCCUUAAUCUUUUUCUUCUCUGCUAAUUCAGUUUAUUUCCCCUUAUGACAGGUUCUCCAAUGGUCAAUGGAUAGGAGAUGAUGACCUGAAGCCAGCUGUAACUUCGAUAAGUUCCUGAAAGUUUGCAUUCAACAUCCAAACUUGGGUUAUUGUCCCAAAGUGUUACUGAAAUACCUCUUAGAGCUAUGUACAAAGAGAUCAUACAAAGGAAAGGAAACAGCAGCUGCGGAAUAAGUUAAACAAGGCUAGAAGAAGUUAAACAAGACUAUGUGUGUUAAGUAGAGAUAAAGGGAUAUAGAAAAAGCAGUGUUUCGAGUGAGAAGUUAGUUGUUAGUAUCUUGUGUACUAGUGAGUCUGGCAUUUGAGAACAACCAGUUCAAAGUGUAGUUCUUUCUUGAGUGGAGUUAGUUUUUUUCUGUACGUAUUCUUAUGUUGCUAAACUUCAAUUUUUAUGUUUCAGAUAACUUUAAUUCAAAUUAAUCAAUUUCAUUAAGUUUUACAGUA